CAGCCGCCACGGGAAUACGUAGGGUGCGAGCGUUAAUAGGAAUUACUGGGCGUAAAGCGUGCGCAGGCGGUUGUGUAAGACAGGAGUGAAAUCCCCGGGCUUAACCUGGGAACUGCGCUUGUGACUGCACAGCUAGAGUAUGGCAGAGGGGGGUGGAAUUCCGCGUGUAGCAGUGAAAUGCGUAGAGAUGUGGAGGAACACCGAUGGCGAAGGCAGCCCCCUGGGCCAAUACUGACGCUCAUGCACGAAAGCGUGGGGAGCAAACAGGAUUAGAUACCCCUGUAGUCCCUGUCUCUUAUAC
rnacentral:rRNA from 1 species